GGGCUGCAGUAAGGAAUAUUGGGCAAUGGACGCAAGUCUGACCCAGCCAUGCCGCGUGCAGGAUGACUGCCCUACGGGUUGUAAACUGCUUUUGUACGGGAAGAAUCCCCCCGACGUGUCGGGGAUUGACGGUACCGUGCGAAUAAGCAUCGGCUAACUCCGUGCCAGCAGCCGCGGUAAUACGGAGGAUGCAAGCGUUAUCCGGAUUCAUUGGGUUUAAAGGGUGCGCAGGCGGAAUGGUAAGUCAGUGGUGAAAUCCCCCGGCUCAACCGGGGAACUGCCAUUGAUACUGCUAUUCUUGAGUACACUUGAGGUAGGCGGAAUGUAUCAUGUAGCGGUGAAAUGCUUAGAUAUGAUACAGAACACCAAUAGCGAAGGCAGCUUACCAAAGUGAAACUGACGCUCAUGCACGAAAGCGUGGGGAGCAAACAGGAUUAGAUACCCGUGUAGUC
rnacentral:rRNA from 1 species